rnacentral:rRNA from 1 species
UCGGCUUAGAGUUUGAUCCUGGCUCAGGACGAACGCUGGCGGCGUGCCUAAUACAUGCAAGUCGAACGAAUUGGUGCUUGCAUCAUUGAGUGGCGAACUGGUGAGUAACACGUGGGAAACCUGCCCAGAAGCGGGGGAUAACACCUGGAAACAGAUGCUAAUACCGCAUAACAACUUGACCGCAUGGUCCAAGUUGAAAGAUGUUCGUAUCACUUUUGGAUGGUCCCGCGGCGUAUUAGCUAGAUGGUGGGGUAACGGCUCACCAUGGCAAUGAUACGUAGCCGACCUGAGAGGGUAAUCGGCCACAUUGGGACUGAGACACGGCCCAAACUCCUACGGGAGGCAGCAGUAGGGAAUCUUCCACAAUGGACGAAAGUCUGAUGGAGCAACGCCGCGUGAGUGAAGAAGGGUUUCGGCUCGUAAAACUCUGUUGUUAAAGAAGAACAUAUCUGAGGUAAUUCAGGUAUUGACGGUAUUUAACCAGAAAGCCACGGCUAACUACGUGCCAGCAGCCGCGGUAAUACGUAGUGGCAAGCGUUGUCCGGAUUUAUUGGCGUAAAGCGAGCGCAGGCGGUUUUUAAGUCUGAUGUGAAAGCCUUCGGCUCAACCGAAGAAGUGCAUCGGAAACUGGAAACUUGAGUG